rnacentral:rRNA from 1 species
GACGUAGGGCGCGAGCGUUGUCCGGAUUUAUUGGGCGUAAAGGGCGCGUAGGCGGCCACGCACGUCCGUUGUGAAAUCGCUCGGCUCAACUGGGCGGGGUCAGCGGAUACGGAGUGGCUGGAGCAAGCUAGGGGGCAAUGGAAUUCCCGGUGUAGUGGUGGAAUGCGUAGAUAUCGGGAGGAACACCAGUGGCGAAGGCGGUUGCCUGGAGCUUUGCUGACGCUGAUGCGCGAAAGCGUGGGGAGCGAGUCCGG